GGGGCCUUAGCUCAACGGUAGAGCAGCAGACUCAUAAUCUGUUGGUUGUAGGUUCGAAUCCUACAGGCCCCAUCA
rnacentral:tRNA from 1 species